GGGGCAGGAGACCGGAGGGAGUUGAGGUUUUGCACCCGAUAAGGAGACGCAUAAAGGGAACGGGUGGGGACACAGGGCCCCUGCAGCCUCAGGAGGAUCAGCAGUGGCCUGGUUUACUCGUGUCGUCAUUCGUCGUGGGCACCUUGUCCCCGGGGCCGGCCAGUUACUUGGCCUCCUGGCUCAUCAUCCUGCCGGAAGCAUCUCCAGCUUGGGGAUGUUGGAGGGUCCCUGGCCCCACCUGGCUGGGGAUGGAGUGUAAGCCGAGGAGAUGCCAUGUGAGGGUGCAGCGAGGAGUUGGGCUGUCUAAAAGCAAAGAAAGAGAUUGCAUCAGACACCGCAUCUGCUGACACCUUGUUCUUGGACUUCCAGCUUCCAAAACCGCGAGAAAUAAAUGUCUGUGUCUAAACCCCAACCCUACCACCUCAACUGCCGUGUGUGGUGUUUUGUGAUGGCAGCCCCAGCUGACUGAGACACCUGGUUAGACCGGAAUAAGCAGUACCUGAGUCCCUUAAGAGUGGCCAAAGAAGAAAGAAUCCACUGAGUUGACAUUCCAGUUCAGCUGCAAUCGGUAGCAGUCACCAUUGAACAUCCUUGAAGCAAUUCUUCCAAAAUUACCUUGCAUCAAAGACUGCACAAGAACUGCUCUAAGCGGAAGGACUGAUGUCGGCAACCAGGGUUCCACCAGGGGCUGCAGACAGCCCUUGACCUUCAGGUAGAACUGGAAGAUUUUGCUGAAAGAUUGGACAUGGCAUUCAGAGAAACAGAGGUUUUAAUGACAAACUCCAAGUUUUUGGCUGGAGCAACUGGAAGAAUGAGGUUGCCAUGAACCGAAAAGAGAGAUUGCAGAAGUAACCAAAUUUACUCACGUAGGCCAGGAAUUUCUAUGACGUGUUCCAAAUUCAGCCUCUCACUGAACACUUCCAGAGCAAGGCAACAUAAACAUCUGCAAGAAGAACAUUGUGUGAGAAAUAUCAAGUGAGAGUGGAAGAGUCUGCGGAGGGCCUCCCUGGGGCUCACCUGUGCUUUUGCCUGAGCUUCACCGUGUCAAGGAUGCAGCACUUUUUCCCUCUGGAGGAAGCAGCUUUCACCUUGGAAGAAUCUUGACCUUGCCAUUCAAAGUCACCAGACAGGGAAUCUGCCAGUGCCUUGAUCUUAGACUUCCCAGCUUCUGUAACUGUGAGCAAUAAAUGUAUGCUGCUUAUAAACUAUCCAGUCUCAUGCAUUUUGUUAUAGCAAUAUAAACAGAUGAAGACAGACAUAAACAUAUCUUUUUGAGAGAUGCAAUGCAACCCAUACCACCAGGAUUGCCACAUGUUUGCUGAUUUCACCUGGUAGCAAGGCUUAGCUAUCUUGGCUUGAAUGUAAUACCUCCAUCUUUUCUCUUGGUCAUCCUCUUUAAGCAGAGGACUUUUAUCUACCCAAGCAGAAUCCUGUGUUCUUGCUAUUCGAAGUGCAGCCCAGCCUCCUGCAGCCACCACAUCACUUGUGAUGCUUGACAGAAAUGCAGACUCUCUGUUCCCACCUCAAACCUACUGACUUGGGAAUCUGCAGCUUACCAAGAUCUCCAGGUGAUCCACGUACACGUCAAACUUUGAAAAGCAGUGGUUUG
rnacentral:lncRNA from 1 species